GCGGGGCCGGACGUGAGCGAACUUCCGCGGGGCGGCGGGGUCGCCAUGGCGGCAAAAAGUCCUCCUGAUAGUACUCCAAGAAGGCCUGUUUUAUCUGUCAGUGCAAGAAAAAUUAAAGAUAAUGCAGCAGACUGGCAUAAUUUAAUGAUGAAAUGGGAGAGACUGAAUGAUAAUGGAUUUACUACAGCAAACAAAAUAGUCAACAUGAGGAUCAGUGAGCAAUUUCAAGACAACAAACUGGAGAUAGUAUGUGAUAACAGUGCCACAGAACCUGAAAAGCCAACCCCAAAAUACAAUGAAGAGCUGGACAAUUGCUGUGCAGAAUUACUUGAGACCUUAAAGCAAAUGACAAAAAUACAACUGAAAAUGGAAAAGCUUACUUCAACUACUAAAGCAAUCUGUGACUUGGAAACAUUCCACCAUGGAGCUGGGAAUUGCAAGGCUCCCUUCUUUCAUACAUGGCCCACACCGUACUUCUAUGAGGUUUCUCUGAAGCUGUCUGAAAUGUACAAGAAGGAACUACAACUCAAGCAAACAAUUGUACAAGACAUUGCUCAUUCUGCUGACCAGGAUCUGAUGAUGGUGUAUUUAUCCUCGUGGCUGUACCAGCCUUACAUUGAGAACAGCAGCAUGCUGCUGCUCGAAGCCAUGCUGCUGGAAACAGGACACAGGCAGUGCUAGAACUCCAAAGGUUACAUGGCUGGCUUCUGGUGAUGCUUUUAUAUGAAACUGAACUGGCAUAUUGCAAGGCUUACCAAGUGGAAAUUGUGGUUUGUUCUCAUUUCUUAAGAGGCAAAAAAGGCUCUUCAGGAAGGGCUCUUCAUAUUCACAGACCCUCUUGCUUAUUGACUGGUGUUGGGCAUUGGAAGAUUACUGCAAAAUCAUUGCAGAGAUGUUUUGUCAUUCUAGCUCUAAGCAGUUGAUUGUUAUAUUUGUAGCCCUCAAAUACAAUUAUCAGACAGUCAGUACAAAAGAGUAUCAUAAAGAAUUGCUCACUGCAGUGAAAGACUUUGAAAGAGCAGGAGGACUUUGCUUUGUAUGCUGCCUUCACUUACAAGGUAGGUCUCUAUCCUCUGGCAAUUACCACCUCCUAGAAAAAGAGGGGAAAAACCCAAAACAA